GUGCCAGCAGCCGCGGUAAUACCGGCAGCCCGAGUGAUGGCCGAUCUUAUUGGGCCUAGAGCGUCCGUAGCUGGCCGCACAAGUCCAUCGGAAAAUCCACCCGCCCAACGGGUGGGCGUCCGGUGGAAACUGUGUGGCUUGGGACCGGAAGGCGCGACGGGUACGUCCGGGGUAGGAGUGAAAUCCCGUAAUCCUGGACGGACCGCCGAUGGCGAAAGCACGUCGCGAGGACGGAUCCGACAGUGAGGGACGAAAGCUCGGGUCACGAACCGGAUUAGAUACCCGGGUAGUCC
rnacentral:rRNA from 1 species